AACGAACGCUGGCGGCAGGCCUAACACAUGCAAGUCGAGCGAGCAUUUCGGUGCUAGCGGCGGACGGGUGAGUAACGCGUGGGAACGUGCCCUUUUCUGCGGAAUAGUCCUGGGAAACUGGGGGUAAUACCGCAUACGCCCUUUUGGGGAAAGAUUUAUCGGAGAAGGAUCGGCCCGCGUUGGAUUAGGUAGUUGGUGGGGUAAUGGCCCACCAAGCCGACGAUCCAUAGCUGGUUUGAGAGGAUGAUCAGCCACACUGGGACUGAGACACGGCCCAGACUCCUACGGGAGGCAGCAGUGGGGAAUCUUAGACAAUGGGGGCAACCCUGAUCUAGCCAUGCCGCGUGAGUGAAGAAGGCCUUAGGGUUGUAAAGCUCUUUCAGCUGGGAAGAUAAUGACGGUACCAGCAGAAGAAGCCCCGGCUAACUCCGUG
rnacentral:rRNA from 1 species